AUUGAACGCUAGCGGAGUGCUUUACACAUGCAAGUCGAACGAGUGGCGGACGGGUGAGUAAUAUAUCGAAACGUUCCCAGGAGCGGGGGAUAACUACGCGAAAGAGUGGCUAAUACCGCAUACUGUUUGAGCGGGCGAUAUCGGAUUAGCGAGUUGGUGGGGUAAAGGCCCACCAAGGCAACGAUCCGUAGCUGGUUUGAGAGGACGACCAGCCACACUGGGACUGAGACACGGCCCAGACUCCUACGGGAGGCAGCAGUGGGGAAUUUUGGACAAUGGGGGAAACCCUGAUCCAGCCAUGCCGCGUGUAUGAGAAGGCCUUCGGGUUGUAAAGUACUUUUGGCAGAGAAGCGGUACCUGCAGAAUAAGCACCGGCUAACUACGUGCCAGCAGCCGCGGUAAUAC
rnacentral:rRNA from 1 species